AUUGAACGCUGGCGGCAGGCCUAACACAUGCAAGUCGAGCGGAUGAAGGGAGCUUGCUCCUGGAUUCAGCGGCGGACGGGUGAGUAAUGCCUAGGAAUCUGCCUGGUAGUGGGGGAUAACAUCCGGAAACGGGCGCUAAUACCGCAUACGUCCUGAGGGAGAAAGUGGGGGAUCUUCGGACCUCACGCUAUCAGAUGAGCCUAGGUCGGAUUAGCCAGUUGGUGGGGUAAAGGCCUACCAAGGCGACGAUCCGUAACUGGUCUGAGAGGAUGAUCAGUCACACUGGAACUGAGACACGGUCCAGACUCCUACGGGAGGCAGCAGUGGGGAAUAUUGGACAAUGGGCGAAAGCCUGAUCCAGCCAUGCCGCGUGUGUGAAGAAGGUCUUCGGAUUGUAAAGCACUUUAAGUUGGGAGGAAGGGCAGUAAGUUAAUACCUUGCUGUUUUGACGUUACCAACAGAAUAAGCACCGGCUAACUUCGUG
rnacentral:rRNA from 1 species